rnacentral:ncRNA from 1 species
GUUUGAAAAAGGUAAACCUAGCGAAAGCUGGGGGCACAAAGCCACGGGUCUAAGGUAGUUUACUACUAUGAUCGCCGGGUUGCCGCA